AUUGAACGCUGGCGGAAUGCUUUACACAUGCAAGUCGAACGGCAGCACGGACUUCGGUCUGGUGGCGAGUGGCGAACGGGUGAGUAAUACAUCGGAACGUGCCCAGUCGUGGGGGAUAACGUAGCGAAAGCUACGCUAAUACCGCAUACGAUCUACGGAUGAAAGCGGGGGAUCGCAAGACCUCGCGCGAUUGGAGCGGCCGAUGGCAGAUUAGGUAGUUGGUAGGGUAAAGGCCUACCAAGCCGACGAUCUGUAGCUGGUCUGAGAGGAUGAUCAGCCACACUGGGACUGAGACACGGCCCAGACUCCUACGGGAGGCAGCAGUGGGGAAUUUUGGACAAUGGACGCAAGUCUGAUCCAGCCAUUCCGCGUGCAGGAUGAAGGCCCUCGGGUUGUAAACUGCUUUUGUACAGAACGAAAAGGCUCUGGUUAAUACCUGGGGCUCAUGACGGUACCUUGCGAGAAAGCCACGGCUAACUACGUGCCAGCAGCCGCAGUAA
rnacentral:rRNA from 1 species